GACGAACGCUGGCGGCGUGCUUAACACAUGCAAGUCGAGCGGUAAGGCCCUUUCGGGGGUACGACGAGCGGCGAACGGGUGAGUAACACGUGGGUGACCUGCCCUCAGCUCUGGGAUAAGCCUGGGAAACCGGGUCUAAUACUGGAUAUGACUCCAUGACGCAUGUUGUGGGGUGGAAAGCCUUGUGCGGCUGAGGAUGGGCCCGCGGCCUAUCAGCUUGUUGGUGGGGUGANGGCCUACCAAGGCGACGACGGGUAGCCGGCCUGAGAGGGCGACCGGCCACACUGGGACUGAGACACGGCCCAGACUCCUACGGGAGGCAGCAGUGGGGAAUCUUGCGCAAUGGGCGAAAGCCUGACGCAGCGACGCCGCGCGAGGGAUGACGGCCU
rnacentral:rRNA from 1 species